AGCCCAGAGCCUGAAUCAGUGUGUGUGUUAGUGGAAGCGUCUGGAAAGGCGCGCGAUACAGGGUGACAGCCCCGUACACAAAAAUGCACAUGCUGUGAGCUCGAUGAGUAGGGCGGGACACGUGGUAUCCUGUCUGAAUAUGGGGGGACCAUCCUCCAAGGCUAAAUACUCCUGACUGACCGAUAGUGAACCAGUACCGUGAGGGAAAGGCGAAAAGAACCCCGGCGAGGGGAGUGAAAAAGAACCUGAAACCGUGUACGUACAAGCAGUGGGAGCACGCUUAGGCGUGUGACUGCGUACCUUUUGUAUAAUGGGUCAGCGACUUAUAUUCUGUAGCAAGGUUAACCGAAUAGGGGAGCCGAAGGGAAACCGAGUCUUAACUGGGCGUUAAGUUGCAGGGUAUAGACCCGAAACCCGGUGAUCUAGCCAUGGGCAGGUUGAAGGUUGGGUAACACUAACUGGAGGACCGAACCGACUAAUGUUGAAAAAUUAGCGGAUGACUUGUGGCUGGGGGUGAAAGGCCAAUCAAACCGGGAGAUAGCUGGUUCUCCCCGAAAGCUAUUUAGGUAGCGCCUCGUGAAUUCAUCUCCGGGGGUAGAGCACUGUUUCGGCAAGGGGGUCAUCCCGACUUACCAACCCGAUGCAAACUGCGAAUACCGGAGAAUGUUAUCACGGGAGACACACGGCGGGUGCUAACGUCCGUCGUGAAGAGGGAAACAACCCAGACCGCCAGCUAAGGUCCCAAAGUCAUGGUUAAGUGGGAAACGAUGUGGGAAGGCCCAGACAGCCAGGAUGUUGGCUUAGAAGCAGCCAUCAUUUAAAGAAAGCGUAAUAGCUCACUGGUCGAGUCGGCCUGCGCGGAAGAUGUAACGGGGCUAAACCAUGCACCGAAGCUGCGGCAGCGACGCUUAUGCGUUGUUGGGUAGGGGAGCGUUCUGUAAGCCUGCGAAGGUGUGCUGUGAGGCAUGCUGGAGGUAUCAGAAGUGCGAAUGCUGACAUAAGUAACGAUAAAGCGGGUGAAAAGCCCGCUCGCCGGAAGACCAAGGGUUCCUGUCCAACGUUAAUCGGGGCAGGGUGAGUCGACCCCUAAGGCGAGGCCGAAAGGCGUAGUCGAUGGGAAACAGGUUAAUAUUCCUGUACUUGGUGUUACUGCGAAGGGGGGACGGAGAAGGCUAUGUUGGCCGGGCGACGGUUGUCCCGGUUUAAGCGUGUAGGCUGGUUUUCCAGGCAAAUCCGGAAAAUCAAGGCUGAGGCGUGAUGACGAGGCACUACGGUGCUGAAGCAACAAAUGCCCUGCUUCCAGGAAAAGCCUCUAAGCAUCAGGUAACAUCAAAUCGUACCCCAAACCGACACAGGUGGUCAGGUAGAGAAUACCAAGGCGCUUGAGAGAACUCGGGUGAAGGAACUAGGCAAAAUGGUGCCGUAACUUCGGGAGAAGGCACGCUGAUAUGUAGGUGAAGUCCCUCGCGGAUGGAGCUGAAAUCAGUCGAAGAUACCAGCUGGCUGCAACUGUUUAUUAAAAACACAGCACUGUGCAAACACGAAAGUGGACGUAUACGGUGUGACGCCUGCCCGGUGCCGGAAGGUUAAUUGAUGGGGUUAGCGCAAGCGAAGCUCUUGAUCGAAGCCCCGGUAAACGGCGGCCGUAACUAUAACGGUCCUAAGGUAGCGAAAUUCCUUGUCGGGUAAGUUCCGACCUGCACGAAUGGCGUAAUGAUGGCCAGGCUGUCUCCACCCGAGACUCAGUGAAAUUGAACUCGCUGUGAAGAUGCAGUGUACCCGCGGCAAGACGGAAAGACCCCGUGAACCUUUACUAUAGCUUGACACUGAACAUUGAGCCUUGAUGUGUAGGAUAGGUGGGAGGCUUUGAAGUGUGGACGCCAGUCUGCAUGGAGCCGACCUUGAAAUACCACCCUUUAAUGUUUGAUGUUCUAACGUGGACCCGUAAUCCGGGUUGCGGACAGUGUCUGGUGGGUAGUUUGACUGGGGCGGUCUCCUCCUAAAGAGUAACGGAGGAGCACGAAGGUUGGCUAAUCCUGGUCGGACAUCAGGAGGUUAGUGCAAUGGCAUAAGCCAGCUUGACUGCGAGCGUGACGGCGCGAGCAGGUGCGAAAGCAGGUCAUAGUGAUCCGGUGGUUCUGAAUGGAAGGGCCAUCGCUCAACGGAUAAAAGGUACUCCGGGGAUAACAGGCUGAUACCGCCCAAGAGUUCAUAUCGACGGCGGUGUUUGGCACCUCGAUGUCGGCUCAUCACAUCCUGGGGCUGAAGUAGGUCCCAAGGGUAUGGCUGUUCGCCAUUUAAAGUGGUACGCGAGCUGGGUUUAGAACGUCGUGAGACAGUUCGGUCCCUAUCUGCCGUGGGCGCUGGAGAACUGAGGGGGGCUGCUCCUAGUACGAGAGGACCGGAGUGGACGCAUCACUGGUGUUCGGGUUGUCAUGCCAAUGGCACUGCCCGGUAGCUAAAUGCGGAAGAGAUAAGUGCUGAAAGCAUCUAAGCACGAAACUUGCCCCGAGAUGAGUUCUCCCUGACUCCUUGAGAGUCCUGAAGGAACGUUGAAGACGACGACGUUGAUAGGCCGGGUGUGUAAGCGCAGCGAUGCGUUGAGCUAACCGGUACUAAUGAACCGUGAGGCUUAACCUUACAACGCCGAAG
rnacentral:rRNA from 1 species